rnacentral:ribozyme from 1 species
GCUGCUCUAUAAAUAAUCACACACCUCUCCGUGGUGAGUAGCAGGCAACGAUCUUAUGACCGGCGAAGAUGUGAGA